rnacentral:lncRNA from 1 species
CCUGAGCCCCUCGCCUCUUUAAACAAGAGGGAGUCUGGUUGUCCCGGCUGCAGGACACUGGGGUCUGCUCCCCUGCAGAGGUGGGUUUCUCUCAGGCUUGGCCCGUCUGCACUGGAAAGCUAGGGCAGCCUUCCUCCCAUUCCUGACUUGAGGACAGAGGCCCCUCAGCGCUCCGCUCUGUGAAGAACCUUCUGGGUUGAAUGAAGAGGGAGGUCAGGUCAGCUCUGCAAAACACCCGCCCAAACCCUGUCCCCGGGUGAGAAGCAUGUGUGACAUCCAGGCCCAGGUCCAGCUCCAACCUCAGCGGGGAGCAGGCCAACUGGAGCACCGAGGCAGCUUUUGGGGGGUGCUGAGCCUGGCUCUCACCCCAGCCGGGAGACCACCAAGCUCAGGGCCCUCUCCCACCGUCUUCAGAUUCCCAAGGGCUGCUGCAUGGGAGGGAGGAUCUGGGCUCGUUCAUGGGGGUCCACUAGGCCGGACAAGGACCACUGUGCCUGAGUUAGAGCUUGUGGGCAGCAGGAGGGGGCUGGGCAGGGGUGAAAUUGGGCUCAGGUCUGGCCAGAGAACCAGGCCCAAUAGGCAAUGUAGGUUCCAGUUAGGAAUUUAGGUAUAAUCCUGGUCACAUCAACAGGGAAAUCUCCACUGGACCUGGGGAGGAGGACUUGCUGUUGUGUUUCUGGCUGGCUUCUUCCCUGUGGGCAAGAGGUGGGGGAUGUGGAGAUGCCAGGGCCUGGUUGGCCCUCUGUGGAGGCUGCUCAGGAACUGGACCUGGGCGACUGUUCUUGGGAUAAACUUCGAGUUUGAUGCUGAGCAAGCUGAGGGCAGUGGGGGGUUCGUUUCUUUCUCUCUCAGCAUUUCCCGUUUCCCUAAGCUCUGGGCUUGUGGGUUAAGUCAGAAGGGUAGAUCCCUGAGUCAUUUUCGGUGUGCUUCUUCUACCCUCAGCAUGUCCUCCUUAAUAUUACCCCGUUCUAGAGGCAGCUUAAUGGUCCCCAUGUUUGAGAGGGACAGUGAACUUGCUGUGCAACCGUCCUUUGAGAUCUUUGAUGAAUGGCAACAAUGUGC